UUGGGAUUCAUUUCAGCAUCAAGCAAGAUGUUACUUGCUUUCAAAUCUCUAUGAAUUAUUCUCAAUCUUGAAUAUUUAUGUAGGUAAAGAAGUCCUUGAGCAAUUCCUUCUAUGAUGUGGAGGCGUUUUUUCCAGUCCAAUAAGUUCUUUUUGGUAGGAUCAAAUAGAAAAGAAUCCAAGCUCUUGUUCGGCAUGAAUUCGUAGACUAGAAUCUUCUCUUCUCUCUGAAUGCAACAGCCAACGAGCCUGACCAGAUUAGUGUGCUGCAGCUUGGCAAUAAGCAAAAGUUCAUUCUUAAAUUCUUCUAGUCCUUGCCCAGAAUUUCUUGAUAGUCUUUUUACUGCUACUUGCUGGCCAUGUAAUUCUCCCUUGUAAACUGGUCCAAAUCCACCUUUACCAAGCUCAUUUGCAGCUGCAAAAUUAUCUGUAGCAGAAACUAUGCUUUCAAAGCUGAAAAAAUGUAGCUCAUGGCUCUUCUUCCAGUCUCUCCUGACUUUAUUUAGUGUCCUAGUUCCACUGUAAUCUGUUGCAGCAGCUUCUAAUUCGCGUAGUAAAAUCUCCUGCUCUGCAUCAUUCUCUGCUGCCGUUCUAUUUCUUUGCAUAAAGUAGUACACUGAACAUGCCACAAGUAUAGCCACAAGAACAGGAAAUGUUAUGGCAGACCAUAUCCACCUCUUUGCUUUCUUUCCUUUGAGGACAUAUAUGACUCUGGUUUCAUCAUGUUUCUUUGUGAAUGUAAUUUCCUGACCCCAUAACUCACAAACAGUUUGGUUGACACUUGUAUAAGCAUAUGCUGCACAAGAACAAUUGUUCAGGCACUCUGCUUGACAAUCAAAAAGGCUCAAGUUGUAACUUUGAUCGAACUUCUGUCCUUCAGCAGACAUGAAUCCUUUCCUUGCCUCGAACGAAACAUUCUGGCUCCUGCACUCAGGCAUCUUUUGUGCCACACAGCCAGGAUCAGGUUUGUAGGAACAAGCACCAAAUGGUGCCAUACCCCUUAUUUCUAGUACAGAACCACUUGAAUCUAUCAUAUAUCUUGAUAAACUAUGAUUUUCACUUUCACUCAGGGAAUAUGUGAAGUAAUUUGCGCCAUCAUUGGAGAUGAAGCGAAAGUUUGGAUUGCCUUCGUUUGAUAAUUGAGACACUAGUUCAAAACGCCCAUUUUGCCACAUUCCACUUGUCCAAUAUAUGCUUCCUUUACACCAUAUGACAAUUUGACUGCUACUAUUGUCGCGAUCCAUGCCAAUGGUAAGAGAAAAAGACCCUUGGGCUGGGAUAUUGUCAUUUAUCCAUGAAGUGAGCGACCACACUUGCAUUUUUCUUUCAUCAAAUCCAAGUUUCAUCCCAGGCAAGAGUGUGUCUGUGGGGUAAUCAAAGCUUUGCCAUAGAAUCUGCUUUGUAGAACCAUCUAAAUUAAAUUCUUUCAACACGAAAUUCCCUGAAUCCAAUAGUGUUGCACUUACAUUACUAGCUGCUUCAACAGAACUUAAAGGAAAACUGGAGCUGCCUUCAUUAUAUAAAAUUGUCAACUUGCCUGAUUCGUCUAUUUUCAGAAUGUCGCCUGAAUCAGAGAUUGGAUUAUCUCGGUUGGCAACCCACACCACCUUCUUCUUGGCAAUGAAAACUUCAUUCUCAUCCACCAUGUUGUACCAUAUUCCCAAAUAUCGGCUUCUGGAAGUGCCAGGGCUAAAGAAUCCUAAUUUGAAAGUCCCAUCAGCUGAAAUCAGGUGAUCGUAGUCCUUGAGCUGUUGGCCUUGAAGUAACGUGUCUGCAAAUGAAUGAGAGAGACCAAUCAACAGGAAAUAACAUAACGAACUGAUAAGGAUUUGGCUUCUCUGUUUGGUGUCCAUAAUGGAGAGGUUUGAAGAUGGAGGUG
rnacentral:misc_RNA from 1 species